GACGAACGCUGGCGGCGUGCUUAACACAUGCAAGUCGAACGGAAAGGCCUGCUUUCCCUUGUGGAUUGCGGGUACUCGAGUGGCGAACGGGUGAGUAACACGUGAGUGAUCUGCCCCCAACUUGGGUAUAAGCCUGGGAAACUGGGUCUAAUUCCCGAUAGGACUGCAGGGUGGUGCCUGUGGUGGAACACGAUUUUCUAGUGGUUGGGGAUGAGCUCGCGGCCUAUCAGCUUGUUGGUGGGGUAAUGGCCUACCAAGGCGGCGACGGGUAGCCGGCCUGAGAGGGUGGACGGCCACAUUGGGACGGAGAGACGGCCCAGACUCCUACGGGAGGCAGCAGUGGGGAAUAUUGCACAAUGGGCGGAAGCCUGAUGCAGCGACGCCGCGUGGGGGAUGACGGCCUUCGGGUUGUAAACUCCUUUCGACCGCGAGGAAGCCACCUGGUUGGAAGGGUGGUGACGGUAGUGGUAGAAGAAGCACCGGCUAACUACGUG
rnacentral:rRNA from 1 species